GCAUUCGUGGUGUAAUUGAAGCACACUCGACUGGUAUUCGAGAGGUCCCGGUUCGAGUCCCGGAGAGGGCA
rnacentral:tRNA from 1 species